rnacentral:rRNA from 1 species
AAUAGAUACCCGGGUAGUCCACGCCCUAAACGAUGAAUACUAGAUGUUAGCGAUAUACAGUUAGCGUCAAAGCGAAAGCAUUAAGUAUUCCACCUGGGGAGUACGCCCGCAAGGGUGAAACUCAAAGGAAUUGACGGGGGGCCCGCACAAGCGGAGGAGCAUGUGGUUUAAUUCGAUGAUACGCGAGGAACCUUACCCGGGCUUGAAAGUUACUGAAGUAUCCAGAGAUGGGUACGUCCUUCGGGACAGGAAACUAGGUGCUGCAUGGCUGUCGUCAGCUCGUGCCGUGAGGUGUUGGGUUAAGUCCGCAACGAGCGCAACCCCUAUGUUUAGUUGCCAGCAUGUCAUGGUGGGGACUCUAAACAGACUGCCUGUGCAAACAGAGAGGAAGGCGGGGACGACGUCAAGUCAUCAUGGCCCUUACGUCCGGGGCUACACACGUGCUACAAUGGAUGGUACAGCGGGCAGCUACCUGGUAACAGGAUGCCAAUCUCGAAAGCCAUUCACAGUUCGGAUAGAGGUCUGCUAACCG